UACGAAGGUCCCAAGCGUUAUCCGGAUUUAUUGGGUUUAAAGGGUGCGUAGGCGGGCUAUUAAGUCAGUGGUGAAAGCCCCAAGCUUAACUUGGGAACUGCCAUUGAUACUGAUGGUCUUGAGUACAGUUGAGGUGGGCGGAAUGUGUCAUGUAGCGGUGAAAUGCUUAGAUAUGACACAGAACACCGAUUGCGAAGGCAGCUCACUAAACUGUAACUGACGCUGAGGCACGAAAGCGUGGGGAGCAAACAGG
rnacentral:rRNA from 1 species